AAGCAAUUUACUCAAGAAACCAUCUACAAUCGUCGCCGGAAGAGAUGUCGGCCAAUCUCCCAAUUCUUCCCGACGCAAUCUCAAUUCCCGCCAGAAAUGGCACCAGUGAGAACCUCUUCGCCGCCGUAGACAUCGGUACCAACUCCUUCAAGCUCCUCGUAGUUCGCGCCGACCCUUCCACCGGCCGUUUCCUCACCGUCGAUCGGUUCAAGGAAAGAGUCCUCCUCGGCCUUGAUACUAACACCACCACUACCUCCGCCAUUAUCUCCAACGCCUCUCUGCUACGCGCCACCACAGCACUUCGAAAGUUUCAGAAGCUUCUCCAGUCCCAUCGCGUUCCUUCCUCCCAUUCUCGCAUCGUAGCUACUUCUGCUGUUCGAGAAGCUUCCAAUCGAUCACAAUUCCUUCAAACGAUUGAUGAAACCCUAGGUCUGAAAGUUGAUGUACUCUCCGGUCUCGAAGAGGCCCGCCUUAUAUACAAAGGUAUACUUCAGUUCCAUCCUGUUCAUGACCGUACAGUUCUCACAAUUGACAUAGGAGGUGGCUCUACAGAGUUUGUAAUUGGCAAAGAGGGGCAGAUUUUGUUCUCUAUUUCACUAGCAUUGGGACAUGUCACUUUAACUCAAAAAUUUCCCGAAGUUACAGAAAUGCGGGAACAUAUUAAGGUUAUAAUCCGUGCCUCGGGCUUAAAUGAGAAGGUUAAGCAUUAUAAUAUUGAUAAAGUGAUUGGUUCAUCAGGGACAAUUAAGAAUAUUGAAAAGGCGAUUUUCCGUGGCUAUGUAAGCAAUAUGGAGGGAAAUGUGGGCAUAUCUAAGGGAAGUAGGAGGGAUUGGAGUUUUACAAUGGACGAAUUGAAGGGCUUAGUGGAGCGGUUGAGUGAGGAAGAGAGAAGAAUUGGAGGGAAGGUUCGAACGCAGGGCUUCUUCAAGAAGAGGUCAGCAUUUAUUGUGGCAGGGGCAGUUUUAUUGGAGGAAAUAUUUGAGGACCUUAAGAUUGAAGAGAUGGAGGUUUCUGGG
rnacentral:misc_RNA from 1 species